rnacentral:rRNA from 1 species
UACGAAGGGGGCUAGCGUUGUUCGGAAUCACUGGGCGUAAAGGGCGCGUAGGCGGCUUUAUAAGUCGGGGGUGAAAGCCUGUGGCUCAACCACAGAAUUGCCUUCGAUACUGUAGAGCUUGAGACCGGAAGAGGUAAGUGGAACUGCGAGUGUAGAGGUGAAAUUCGUAGAUAUUCGCAAGAACACCGGUGGCGAAGGCGGCCUUCUGGACAGUGACUGACGCUGAGACGCGAAAGCGUGGGGAGCAAACAGG